AGGACGAACGCUGGCGGCGUGCUUAACACAUGCAAGUCGAGCGGAAAGGCCCUUCGGGGUACUCGAGCGGCGAACGGGUGAGUAACACGUGAGUAAUCUGCCCCUAGCUCUGGGAUAGCUCCGGGAAAACCGGGAUUAAUACCAGAUACGACCACUUUAGACAUCUUCUGUGGUGGAAAGAACUUCGGCUAGGGAUGAACUCGCGGCCUAUCAGCUUGUUGGUGAGGUAACGGCUCACCAAGGCGACGACGGGUAGCCGGCCUGAGAGGGCGACCGGCCACACUGGGACUGAGACACGGCCCAGACUCCUACGGGAGGCAGCAGUGGGGAAUAUUGCGCAAUGGGCGAAAGCCUGACGCAGCGACGCCGCGUGGGGGAUGAAGGCCUUCGGGUUGUAAACCCUUUCAGCAGGGACGAAGCGAAAGUGACGGUACCUGCAGAGAAGCGCGGCUAACUACGCGCCAGCAGCCGC
rnacentral:rRNA from 1 species